rnacentral:lncRNA from 10 species
CAGCGGAGGUGCAGGGGCCAUGCCACCAUCCCAGGGUCUCGGGAGUUCUCCCAGCUCCAGGACUCGGGCAAGUCCCUCCACCGCUCUGCGUCUUGAAGUCUUCAUCUAUGUCCUAAAACUGACACCAGCCAAUUGCAAAGCCAAUUGGUGUGGAACUUUAGGAGUUAGGUUCCUGGCACAGCUUCGCCUCCCCCAAGUAGCUCCAUCCAUGGCACCUUCUGCUGCCUCUCAAAACUCCUCCUUCUUUUUCUGGAGGAAAACCUACAAUUCAAGAUCUCCAACAGAAAUUGAACUAACUAGGUACCAGCAUGGCCUAUUUCUCCAACUUCAAGUUAACGUCAACCAAACUCAUCUGGAAUGUUGAGACCGAAAAACAUCUAGGAAAAUCUUCACAGUGGUGAGAAGGGCGUUGGAUAUUUGGAGACGGAGAACAAAGAAGACUGAUUUUCAAGUGAGAAAGGCAUCUACAUUGACUGAUAGCAGCUGUGACUCUUUCAGGACAGAGGCUGUUGCUGUAAGCACUGGAUGAUACUGGAGUGACAUGACAGGCCUGAGGAGCCCUCCCCUAGUCAUUCAGAUUCCUGGAAGUCUCUACAACAGGAGCUGGCCCAAGACCAGGUUGAUGUUGGCAGUGACAUUGCCAUCUCUGUAGGAUACUAGAGUGUAGCCUCUUGUCUUUGCUUCUCAGAGGUGAAACAAGUGGAGUGACUCAGACUGCCAGGUUGUGCCAGCUGGGGUCCAGGUUCGAAGGAGCUGAGACCUGUGAGGCUGUUAGGAACAACACAAAGGGCGUUCCUCAUCCUGAGGACCAGGAGGAGAGGCACGCAGGACCCACCACUUGUCAGCAGAAAUGACAGCAUGAACACUGUGGACG